GACGAACGCUGGCGGCGUGCUUAACACAUGCAAGUCGAACGGUAAGGCCCUUCGGGGUACACGAGUGGCGAACGGGUGAGUAACACGUGGGUGAUCUGCCCUGCACUUCGGGAUAAGCUUGGGAAACUGGGUCUAAUACCGGAUAGGAUCAUGGCCUUCAUGGGUUGUGGUGGAAAGCUUUUGCGGUGUGGGAUGGGCCCGCGGCCUAUCGGCUUGUUGGGGGGGUAAUGGCCUACCAAGGCGACGACGGGUAGCCGGCCUGAGAGGGUGUCCGGCGACACUGGGACUGAGCUACGGCCCAGACUCCAACGGGAGGCAGCAGUGGGGAGUGUUGCACAAUGGGCGCAAGCCUGAUGCAACGACGCCGCGUGGGGGAUGACGGCCUUCGGGUUGUAAACCUCUUUCAGCAUCUACGAAGCGCAAGUGACGGUAGAUGCAGAAGAAGCACCGGCCAACUACGUGCCAGCCGCCGCAGUAACAC
rnacentral:rRNA from 1 species